rnacentral:rRNA from 1 species
UACGUAGGGUGCGAGCGUUGUCCGGAAUUAUUGGGCGUAAAGAGCUCGUAGGCGGUGUGUCACGUCGGCCGUGAAAACCUGCAGCUUAACUGUGGGCGUGCGGUCGAUACGGGCAUCACUGGAGUUCGGCAGGGGAGACUGGAAUUCCUGGUGUAGCGGUGAAACGCGCAGAUAUCAGGAGGAACACCGGUGGCGAAGGCGGGUCUCUGGGCCGAUACUGACGCUGAGGAGCGAAAGCGUGGGGAGCAAACAGG